rnacentral:ncRNA from 1 species
GCCCCUGUGAGAAUGCCCUUAACCCCUGCCCGGGUAAAAGGAGCUGGUAUCAGGCACGAGUAUUCUGCCCAUGACGCCUUGCUAAGCCACACCCCCAAGGGUACUCAGCAGUAAUAAACUUUAAGCCAUAAGUGACAACUUGACUUAGUUAAAAUCAUUAAGGGUCGGUAAAACUCGUGCCAGCCACCGCGGUUAUACGAGAGACCCAAGUUGAUAGUCUCCGGCGUAAAGUGUGGUUAGGAUAAGACUCAACACUAGGAUUAAACGCCCUUGAAGCUGUUAUACGCAAUUGAGGGUCGGAAGCUCGUCUACGAAAGUGAUCCUAAACAUCUGAACCCACGAAAGCUAUGGUACAAACUGGGAUUAGAUACCCCACUAUGCAUAGCCAUAAACCUUGAUAGCCUUACACAAUCGCUAUCCGCCCGGGUACUACGAGCAUUAGCUUAAAACCCAAAGGACUUGGCGGUGCCUCAGAACCCCCUAGAGGAGCCUGUUCUAGAACUGAUACUCCCCGUUCAACCUCACCACCUCUUGCCCCCUGUUUAUAUACCGCCGUCGUCAGCUUACCCUGUGAAGGCAAAGCAGUAAGCUUAAUUGGCAUAGCCAAAAACGUCAGGUCGAGGUGUAGCGUAUGGGGUGGGAAGAAAUGGGCUACAUUCCUUUAUUAAAGGUAAUACGGACAGAGUGUUGAAAUAUACUCUCUAAGGAGGAUUUAGCAGUAAGCAGGGAAUAGAGAGCCCUACUGAAGCCGGCUCUGAAGCGCGCACAUACCGCCCGUCACUCUCCCCCAAUGUUUAAAAUCAAAAUACUUAAUACCCAAAGUAUAACUAAGAGGAGACAAGUCGUAACAUGGUAAGUGUACCGGAAGGUGCACUUGGAUUAAU